rnacentral:misc_RNA from 1 species
UUUCCGUAGGUGAACCUGCGGAAGGAUCAUUAAUGAUUCUCAAAGGAUGUGCUGGCAACUAAAUGGUUGCAUGUGCACUCUGACUAUCAUUCACCUGUGCACAUUUUGUAGAUGAGAGGUGGCAGCAAUGUUAUCUCAUUGUCUAUGAUUUUUUUACACCCUGUUUAAAUAAAAUUGUAUGCAUUUGAAAAUAAAUACAACUUUCAACAAUGGAUCUCUUGGUUCUC